AUUGAACGCUGGCGGCAGGCCUAACACAUGCAAGUCGAACGGUAGCACAGAGGAGCUUGCUCCUUGGGUGACGAGUGGCGGACGGGUGAGUAAUGUCUGGGAAACUGCCCGAUGGAGGGGGAUAACUACUGGAAACGAUAGCUAAUACCGCAUAACGUCGCAAGACCAAAGAGGGGGACCUUCGGGCCUCUUGCCAUCGGAUGUGCCCAGAUGGGAUUAGCUAGUAGGUGGGGUAACGGCUCACCUAGGCGACGAUCCCUAGCUGGUCUGAGGGGAUGACCAGCCACCCUGGAACUGAGACACGGUCCAGACUCCUACGGGAGGCAGCAGUGGGGAAUAUUGCACAAUGGGCGCAAGCCUGAUGCAGCCAUGCCGCGUGUAUGAAGAAGGCCUUCGGGUUGUAAAGUACUUUCAGCGAGGAGGAAGGCAUUAAGGUUAAUAACCUUAGUGAUUGACGUUACUCGCAGAAGAAGCACCGGCUAACUCCGUGCCAGCCGCCGCCGUAA
rnacentral:rRNA from 1 species